rnacentral:lncRNA from 1 species
GGAAGGGCCAGUCUUACUUUCACCAUGCUCACCCCAACAGCACUGAGUCUGUUUCCAGGCAGUGAACAAGCAGGGCUGAGAACUUGCUCCAGAGUACCCACCUCCCAGCUGCAAAGCAAAUAAAGCUUUCCUUCUUUCCCCACCUGUGGAAUCUGCAAGCCAGCUUCACCCCUCCCAUCGAGUUCUGGUCAGGAGGCUUCUGGUUGAGUUCAAAUUGCUAUAAAGUUCAGCUGGAGCCUUCCUUCUCCCUGUGGCCUUUUCCCAGUACCUCUGGCCACCCUCCCGAAGGACCUUUGUAAGGCCAGGCAAAAAUGGCUUGCUAGGGGACCCAGUGAUCUCCCAGGGCUUUUUCCAACUGCUUCCUCUUCCCCUAUAUUUUGCUUGGCUCUCUAAAUCGACUCAGCUCCAGGAUUUGAAACAUUCGAAAUCAAUGUACACAAAUCAGUAGCACUACUAUGCACCAACAGCGACCAAAUGAGAAC